AGGACGAACGCUGGCGGCGUGCUUAACACAUGCAAGUCGAGCGGUGACCCUCCUUCGGGAGGUGAUCAGCGGCGAACGGGUGAGUAACACGUGGGCAACCUGCCCCUAACACUGGGAUAACCUCGGGAAACCGGGGCUAAUACCGGAUACGACCUCGAGCGGCAUCUCUUGAGGUGGAAAGCUCCGACGGUUAGGGAUGGGCCCGCGGCCUAUCAGCUUGUUGGUGGGGUAAUGGCCUACCAAGGCGACGACGGGUA
rnacentral:rRNA from 1 species